GAUGAACGCUGGCGGCGUGCUUAACACAUGCAAGUCGAACGAUGAAGCCCAGCUUGCUGGGUGGAUUAGUGGCGAACGGGUGAGUAACACGUGAGUAACCUGCCCUUAACUCUGGGAUAAGCCUGGGAAACUGGGUCUAAUACCGGAUAGGAGCGCCUACCGCAUGGUGGGUGUUGGAAAGAUUUAUCGGUCUUGGAUGGACUCGCGGCCUAUCAGCUUGUUGGUGAGGUAAUGGCUCACCAAGGCGACGACGGGUAGCCGGCCUGAGAGGGUGACCGGCCACACUGGGACUGAGACACGGCCCAGACUCCUACGGGAGGCAGCAGUGGGGAAUAUUGCACAAUGGGCGAAAGCCUGAUGCAGCGACGCCGCGUGAGGGAUGACGGCCUUCGGGUUGUAAACCUCUUUCAGUAGGGAAGAAGCGAAAGUGACGGUACCUGCAGAAGAAGCACCGGCUAACUACGUG
rnacentral:rRNA from 1 species